AGUGAACGCUGGCGGUAGGCCUAACACAUGCAAGUCGAACGGCGGCACAGUAAGCGCUUGCUCUUACGGGUGGCGAGUGGCGGACGGGUGAGGAAUACAUCGGAAUCUACUUUUUCGUGGGGGAUAACGUAGGGAAACUUACGCUAAUACCGCAUACGACCUACGGGUGAAAGCAGGGGAUCUUCGGACCUUGCGCGAUUGAAUGAGCCGAUGUCGGAUUAGCUAGUUGGCGGGGUAAAGGCCCACCAAGGCGACGAUCCGUAGCUGAUCUGAGAGGAUGAUCAGCCACACUGGAACUGAGACACGGUCCAGACUCCUACGGGAGGCAGGAGUGGGGAAUAUUGGACAAUGGGCGAAAGCCUGAACCAGCCAUACCGCGUGGGUGAAGAAGGCCUUCGGGUUGGAAAGCCCUUUUGUUGGGAAAGAAAAGCAGCAGGUUAAUACCCCGCUGUUCUGACGGUACCCAAAGAAUAAGCACCGGCUAACUUCGUG
rnacentral:rRNA from 1 species